AUAUCAAAUGACUACCCUAUAUAAUGAAUACUAUACUACUGUGGUGAAGUGCAGUGAAUGCACACAAAUGGUAACUAAAUGUAACAUACAGUGCAGUGUCAUAAUAUCCAACAGUUGUUUGGUUUUUAAUCAUCAUGAGAAAAUUGUAAUCAGAGAACAUGUGUUAUUAGUGCUGUUAAAACCAAUUUGCAGUAAUGUGGCAUUAUUGCGGUACCUUAAAUAGCUAAUUUAUAUGUGCGCUAUUUGUUAAAUAAUAACGCCUCAUGUUCUUUUUGAAUAGGAGAAGUACCUACAAUCACCUAAGCAGCUGGUUGACAGAUGCCAGGAACCUGACCAACCCAAACACAGUGAUCAUUCUAAUUGGUAAUAAGGCUGAUCUGGAGUCUCAGAGAGACGUGACAUAUGAGGAGGCCAAGCAGUUCGCUGAGGAGAACGGUUUGCUGUUUCUAGAGGCCAGCGCUAAGACGUAAGUUCAAACACAUACACGCCCUUUGAAU